rfam:Natranaerobius thermophilus JW/NM-WN-LF, complete genome.
GUUCCCUUGAAAUUAGUCCCGUGAGGCUAAUAAGGGAGGUGAUGCUAGGCGUAUUGUGUCAAAUUAUGUCCAAUUAGCUUAGUGUAACUUCCUAUUAGCUUCACAAAAUGAAGCAUAGGAAGUUUUUUUAU